rnacentral:rRNA from 1 species
CUACGGGUGGCUCCAGUGGGGAAUAUUGCACAAUGGAGGAAACUCUGAUGCAGCAACGCCGCGUGGAGGAUGACACUUUUCGGAGCGUAAACUCCUUUUAUAUAGGAAGAAGAUGACGGUACUAUAUGAAUAAGCGCCGGCUAACUCCGUGCCAGCAGCCGCGGUAAUACGGAGGGCGCAAGCGUUACUCGGAAUCACUGGGCGUAAAGAGCGUGUAGGCGGAUUAAAAAGUCAGAAGUGAAAUCCUAUAGCUUAACUAUAGAACUGCUUCUGAAACUCUUAAUCUAGAAUAUGGGAGAGGUAGAUGGAAUAUCUGGUGUAGGGGUAAAAUCCGUAGAGAUCAGAAGGAAUACCGAUUGCGAAGGCGAUCUACUAGAACAUUAUUGACGCUGAGACGCGAAAGCGUGGGGAGCAAACAGGAUUAGAUACCCUUGUAGUC